rnacentral:rRNA from 1 species
UAGCGAAAUUCCUUGUCGGGUAAGUUCCGACCCGCACGAAAGGCGUAAUGAUUUGAGCGCUGUCUCGACAAUGCACCCGGUGAAAUUGAAAUACCAGUGAAGAUGCUGGUUACCUGCGCCAGGACGGAAAGACCCCAUGGAGCUUUACUCUAGCUUGAUACUGGGAUUCGGUACUGCAUGUACAGGAUAGGUGGGAGACGAAGAGGACAGGACGCCAGUCUUGUCGGAGUCGCUGUUGGGAUACCACCCUUGUGGUACUGGAUUUCUAACCAACCUCCGUGACCCGGAGGUGGGACAAUGUCAGGUGGGGAGUUUGACUGGGGCGGUCGCCUCCGAAAGGGUAUCGGAGGCGCUCAAAGGUUCCCUCAGAAUGGUUGGAAACCAUUCGAAGAGUGCAAAGGCAGAAGGGAGCUUGACUGCGAGACCGACGGGUCGAGCAGGUAGGAAACUAGGACUUAGUGAUCCGGUGGUAUGAAAGUGGGAUUGCCAUCGCUCAACGGAUAAAAGCUACCCUGGGGAUAACAGGCUUAUCACUCCCAAGAGUUCACAUCGACGGAGUGGUUUGGCACCUCGAUGUCGGCUCAUCGCAUCCUGGGGCUGAAGUAGGUCCCAAGGGUUGGGCUGUUCGCCCAUUAAAGCGGUACGCGAGCUGGGUUCAGAACGUCGUGAGACAGUUCGGUCCCUAUCCGGCGCGGGCGUAGGAUAUUUGAGAGGAGCUGCCCUUAGUACGAGAGGACCGGGGUGGACUGGCCUCUGGUGUAUCUGUUGAGCCAUCAGGCUCAUGGCAGAGUAGCCAAGCCGGGACGGGAUAAACGCUGAAGGCAUCUAAGCGUGAAGCCCCCCUCAAGAUGAGAUAUCCCUCCUUCGGGAGUAAGACCCCUUGAAGACUACAAGGUAGAUAGGGCAGAGGUGGAAGUGUGGCAACACAUGGAGCUGACUGUUACUAAUAGGUCGAGGGCUUGAUUAA